AUGAACGCUAGCUACAGGCUUAACACAUGCAAGUCGAGGGGCAGCAUGGUCUUAGCUUGCUAAGGCCGAUGGCGACCGGCGCACGGGUGAGUAACACGUAUCCAACCUGCCGUCUACUCUUGGACAGCCUUCUGAAAGGAAGAUUAAUACAAGAUGGCAUCAUGAGUCCGCAUGUUCACAUGAUUAAAGGUAUUCCGGUAGACGAUGGGGAUGCGUUCCAUUAGAUAGUAGGCGGGGUAACGGCCCACCUAGUCUUCGAUGGAUAGGGGUUCUGAGAGGAAGAUCCCCCACAUUGGAACUGAGACACGGUCCAAACUCCUACGGGAGGCAGCAGUGAGGAAUAUUGGUCAAUGGGCGAGAGCCUGAACCAGCCAAGUAGCGUGAAGGAUGACUGCCCUAUGGGUUGUAAACUUCUUUUAUAAAGGAAUAAAGUCGGGUAUGGAUACCCGUUUGCAUGUACUUUAUGAAUAAGGAUCGGCUAACUCCGUGCCAGCAGCCGCGGUAAUACGGAGGAUCCGAGCGUUAUCCGGAUUUAUUGGGUUUAAAGGGAGCGUAGAUGGAUGUUUAAGUCAGUUGUGAAAGUUUGCGGCUCAACCGUAAAAUUGCAGUUGAUACUGGAUAUCUUGAGUGCAGUUGAGGCAGGCGGAAUUCGUGGUGUAGCGGUGAAAUGCUUAGAUAUCACGAAGAACUCCGAUUGCGAAGGCAGCCUGCUAAGCUGCAACUGACAUUGAGGCUCGAAAGUGUGGGUAUCAAACAGGAUUAGAUACCCUGGUAGUCCACACGGUAAACGAUGAAUACUCGCUGUUUGCGAUAUACGGCAAGCGACCAAGCGAAAGCGUUAAGUAUUCCACCUGGGGAGUACGCCGGCAACGGUGAAACUCAAAGGAAUUGACGGGGGCCUGCACAAGCGGAGGAACAUGUGGUUUAAUUCGAUGAUACGCGAGGAACCUUACCCGGGCUUAAAUUGCAGAUGAAUUACGGUGAAAGCCGUAAGCCGCAAGGCAUCUGUGAAGGUGCUGCAUGGUUGUCGUCAGCUCGUGCCGUGAGGUGUCGGCUUAAGUGCCAUAACGAGCGCAACCCUUGUUGUCAGUUACUAACAGGUUCUGCUGAGGACUCUGACAAGACUGCCAUCGUAAGAUGUGAGGAAGGUGGGGAUGACGUCAAAUCAGCACGGCCCUUACGUCCGGGGCUACACACGUGUUACAAUGGGGGGUACAGAGGGCCGCUACCACGCGAGUGGAUGCCAAUCCCAAAAACCUCUCUCAGUUCGGACUGGAGUCUGCAACCCGACUCCACGAAGCUGGAUUCGCUAGUAAUCGCGCAUCAGCCACGGCGCGGUGAAUACGUUCCCGGGCCUUGUACACACCGCCCGUCAAGCCAUGGGAGCCGGGGGUACCUGAAGUGCGUAACCGCGAGGAGCGCCCUAGGGUAAAACUGGUGACUGGGGCU
rnacentral:rRNA from 1 species